AAGGAGUCUAACAUGUAUGCGAGUUUGAGGGUUUGAAACCCAAGAGCGAAGCGAAAGCGAAACUUGUGAGAGGGGGGCUGGCAACCUACCUGCAUCACGGACCGGAAGGCCACAGGGCCUAUUGAGUUAGAGCACACAUGAUGGGACCCGAAAGAUGGUGAACUAAGCAUGAGCAGAAUGAAGCCAGGAGAAAUUCUGGUGGAAGUUCGUAGCGGUACUGACGUGCAAAUCGUUCGUAUGACUUGUGUUUAGGGGCGAAAGACUAAUCGAACCAUCUAGUAGCUGGUUUUCGUCGAAAUUUCCCUCAGGAUAGCUGAAGCAGGGUAAUAAUUUUAUUUGGUAAAGACAAUGAUUAGAGGUAUUAGGGUCGAAAUGGUCUUAACCUAUUCUCAAACUUUAAAUGGGUAA
rnacentral:rRNA from 1 species